rnacentral:rRNA from 1 species
UACAGAGGUCUCAAGCGUUGUUCGGAUUCAUUGGGCGUAAAGGGUGCGUAGGUGGUUGGGUAAGUCACAUGUGAAAUCCCGGAGCUCAACUCCGGAACUGCAUUCGAUACUGCCCGGCUAGAGGAUUGGAGAGGAGGCUGGAAUUCACGGUGUAGCAGUGAAAUGCGUAGAUAUCGUGAGGAACACCCGCGGCGAAGGCGGGCCACUGGACAACUCCUGACGCUGAGGCACGAAGGCUAGGGGAGCAAACGGG